CCUACGGGCGACUGCAGUCGAGAAUCAUUCACAAUGGGGGAAACCCUGAUGGUGCGACGCCGCGUGGGGGAAUGAAGGUCUUCGGAUUGUAAACCCCUGUCAUGUGGGAGCAAAUUAAAAAGAUAGUACCACAAGAGGAAGAGACGGCUAACUCUGUGCCAGCAGCCGCGGUAAUACAGAGGUCUCAAGCGUUGUUCGGAAUCACUGGGCGUAAGGCGUGCGUAGGCUGUUUCGUAAGUCGUGUGUGAAAGGCGCGGGCUCAACCCGCGGACGGCACAUGAUACUGCGAGACUAGAGUAAUGGAGGGGGAACCGGAAUUCUCGGUGUAGCAGUGAAAUGCGUAGAUAUCGAGAGGAACACUCGUGGCGAAGGCGGGUUCCUGGACAUUAGCUGACGCUGAGGCACGAAGGCCAGGGGAGCGAAAGGGAUUAGAUACCCUGGUAGUC
rnacentral:rRNA from 1 species